AGGAUAAACGCUGGCGGCGUGCCUAAUACAUGCAAGUCGAGCGGCAGCGCGGUCUUCGGACUGGCGGCGAGCGGCGGACGGCUGAGUAACACGUAGGAACGUACCCCAAAGUGAGGGAUAAGCACCAGAAAUGGUGUCUAAUACCGCAUGUGCUCUAAGGAGUAAAGCUUCGGCGCUUUGGGAACGGCCUACGCAUGAUUAGCUUGUUGGUGAGGUAAUGGCUCACCAAGGCGACGAUCAUUAGC
rnacentral:rRNA from 1 species